CCCAUUAGAAGGAAAAUAUCAACCGACGGUCUUACCUCCACACACGUCCGAUAAAACUAAAAGCAUAGAGAAAUUAAGAGAGAGUGAAGAAAAUCAUGGAGAGCAAGAAAAUGAUGACAGUGGCAGCUAUGGCUAUGGUGUUCAUGAUCUUGUUAUCGGCCAAUAUGGACACUGUCGAUGCUCAAGGAGUCGAUUGCUGGGACAGUUGCAAUACUGCCUGUGUUGGUCUCCCACUGAGACAAUAUCAGCGUUGUGAUGGGAAGUGCGUCAUUAAGUGCGGACCAGAUGGCAAAAUUUAUGGAAACCUGGGUUGAAAGUGCUAAAAAGCUAGCGAGCUACCAAGGGCUAUUGUUGUCUAUUUGAUAAUAAAUUCGUCAUAGUUUGGGAAAUAAUGUAUUUCACUAUUUGUCAUAAUACAUAUUGUGCAACGUAUUUUCACUAGUUGUCAUAAUACAUGUUGAAAUUAUAGUAGCUAGUUGAAUUUACCGGCCAGGUCAAACUUUCCGUCUUUAAAUGAACUCAAAUAAAUUUUGUCAUGUAUAAUUUACCAAUAGAGUAGAAAUAAGUUGGCAAUCAAUAUAUAUUAUAAAGCUAGGCAUAGACAAGGUGAUGUGACACCUCUCUAUGGCCAAGAAACCUAUUUAUUUUU